AGUAGGCCAAUUAUAUGCAGUUGGUGCGUUGCCCUGAUGGGGAGGAGUCAGUUGUUGUUUGGCCGUUGUUUUAAUUCUUCAUAUUGGGUGCAGAUUUGAGAACCAUUAGCUCCGUUUUGCUGAAUGAAAGCUCAAGACCACGACUAGAAGACAAUAUGAUGAUGAAGCUACGGAAACACGAACAAUAAUUUGAAGAGAAAGUGGGCGUGGCUGAGGAGGAGGUGGAGGCAUAGGAGGAGUUGACAGAGGAGGAGGUGGAAGAGGAGUAGACGGCAGAGGAGGAGAUGGCGGAUGACUGAGAAGAAGGCUAGAGACAACGAGGUGGAAGAGGAGGAUUUGGCAGAUGAGGAGGUGGUGGAUGGCUGAGGAGGUGGAAGAGACAAUAUGAUGA